rnacentral:rRNA from 1 species
AACGCGAAGAACCUUACCAAGGCUUGACAUACACGAGAACGGGCCAGAAAUGGUCAACUCUUUGGACACUCGUGAACAGGUGGUGCAUGGUUGUCGUCAGCUCGUGUCGUGAGAUGUUGGGUUAAGUCCCGCAACGAGCGCAACCCUCGUUCUAUGUUGCCAGCACGUAAUGGUGGGAACUCAUGGGAUACUGCCGGGGUCAACUCGGAGGAAGGUGGGGAUGACGUCAAAUCAUCAUGCCCCUUAUGUCUUGGGCUUCACGCAUGCUACAAUGGCCGGUACAAAGGGCUGCAAUACCGCGAGGUGGAGCGAAUCCCAAAAAGCCGGUCCCAGUUCGGAUUGAGGUCUGCAACUCGACCUCAUGAAGUCGGAGUCGCUAGUAAUCGCAGAUCAGCAACGCUGCGGUGAAUACGUUCCCGGGCCUUGUA